AUUCCAUGAUGGGGACAAUCUAGGAUGUAGUCUUGGAAGCGCUCCCAUGCUUCUGUAACAGAUUCAUCAUUUUGUUGUUGAAAACUUGUAAUCUUUCCAUGAAGAGC
rfam:Sorghum bicolor cultivar BTx623 chromosome 1, whole genome shotgun sequence.